UACGAAGGGGGGCUAGCGUUGUUCGGAGUUACUGGGCGUAAAGGGCUCGUAGGCGGUUUGUCGCGUCGGGAGUGAAAUCCACUGGCUUAACUGGUGGCUUGCUUUCGAUACGGGCAGACUGGAGGUAUGCAGGGGAGAACGGAAUUCCUGGUGUAGCGGUGAAAUGCGCAGAUAUCAGGAGGAACACCGGUGGCGAAGGCGGUUCUCUGGGCAUGUCCUGACGCUGAGGAGCGAAAGUGUGGGGAGCGAACAGG
rnacentral:rRNA from 1 species